rnacentral:rRNA from 1 species
ACCAAAAGCGGAGGAAAAGAAACUAACUAGGAUUCCCUUAGUAACGGCGAGUGAACCGGGAUGAGCUCAAAUUUAAAAUCUGGCGUCUUUCAGGCGUCCGAGUUGUAAUCUAUAGAGGCGUUUUCCGCGCCGGACCGCGUCCAAGUCUCUUGGAAUAGAGUAUCAAAGAGGGUGACAAUCCCGUACUUGACGCGACAACCGGUGCUCUGUGAUACGUUCUCAAUGAGUCGAGUUGUUUGGGAAUGCAGCUCUAAAUGGGUGGUAAAUUCCAUCUAAGGCUAAAUAUUGGCGAGAGACCGAUAGCGAACAAGUACCGUGAGGGAAAGAUGAAAAGCACUUUGGAAAGAGAGUUAAACAGCACGUGAAAUUGUUAAAAGGGAAACGAUUGAAGUCAGUCGUGUGAAAGGUAUUCAGCCGUCUCUGGCGGUGUAUUUGCCUUUCACGGGUCAACAUCAGUUUGAUCCGGUAGAAAAAGGCGGGAGGAAGGUGGCACCCUCGGGUGUGUUAUAGCCUCCUGUCAUAUGUGCCGGACCAGACUGAGGAACGCAGCUUGCCGCAAGGCCGGGGUUCGCCCACGUACAAGCUUAGGAUGUUGACAUAAUGGCUUUAAACGACCCGUCUUGAA